GAGGAGUGGGACAAACUAGCUCAGAACUCAUUUCUUGCCUUUUACCAGAGAUGACCGUGGUUUGCCCAGAAUACUCCUCUCCUCAAUCUUUGGAAUCACUUAUCGACACAGUUGU
rfam:Aspergillus carbonarius ITEM 5010 unplaced genomic scaffold ASPCAscaffold_1, whole genome shotgun sequence.